rnacentral:rRNA from 1 species
CCAAUAGCGUAUAUUAAAGUUGUUGCAGUUAAAAAGCUCGUAGUUGAACUUCAGGCCUGGCUGGACGGUCCGCCUUCUGGGUGAGUACUGUCUGUGGUCGGGUCCUACCUUCUGGCGAAGCGUCAUGGCCUUCACCGGCCGUGGCGGGGAGCCAGGACUUUUACUUUGAAAAAAUUAGAGUGUUCAAAGCAGGCACGCGCUUGAAUACAUUAGCAUGGAAUAAUGGAAUAGGACAGUGGUUCUAUUUGUUGGUUUCUAGGACCGUUGUAAUGAUUAAUAGGGAUAGUUGGGGGCAUUAGUAUUCAAUUGUCAGAGGUGAAAUUCUUGGAUUUAUUGAAGACUAACUACUGCGAAAGCAUUUGCCAAGGAUGUUUUCAUUAAUCAAGAACGAAAGUUAGGGGAUCGAAGACGAUCAGAUACCGUCGUAGUCUUAACCAUAAACUAUGCCGACUAGGAAUCGGGCGAUGUUGACAAAAUGACGCGCUCGGCACCUCAUG